rnacentral:rRNA from 1 species
CACGAACGCUGGCGGCAGGCCUAACACAUGCAAGUCGAGCGGAUCCUUCGGGAUUAGCGGCGGACGGGUGAGUAACGCGUGGGAAUAUGCCCUUCUCUACGGAAUAGCCUCGGGAAACUGGGAGUAAUACCGUAUACGCCCUACGGGGGAAAGAUUUAUCGGAGAAGGAUUAGCCCGCGUUGGAUUAGGUAGUUGGUGGGGUAAUGGCCUACCAAGCCUACGAUCCAUAGCUGGUUUGAGAGGAUGAUCAGCCACACUGGGACUGAGACACGGCCCAGACUCCUACGGGAGGCAGCAGUGGGGAAUCUUAGACAAUGGGGGAAACCCUGAUCUAGCCAUGCCGCGUGAGUGAUGAAGGCCUUAGGGUUGUAAAGCUCUUUCAGCUGGGAAGAUAAUGACGGUACCAGCAGAAGAAGCCCCGGCUAACUCCGUGCCAGCCGCCGCCGUAAGAC